GUAGGUGAACCUGCGGAAGGAUCAUUAAUGAAACUUCAAGUCGGCUGUUCUGUGCUGGUGGAAACACAUGUGCACGUUCGGUCGCAAUCCACACACCUGUGCACUUUGACUCUGAGCACCGCCAGUAACACGGCAGAAGGUUCUUAUGACUAAGGUCUGGACCCGGUACUCGAGUAUUUUACACACUCUGAAUGUAAUGGAAUGUCACUGUACAAUGUACAAUCAUAAACAACUUUCAACAACGGAUCUC
rnacentral:misc_RNA from 1 species